rnacentral:rRNA from 1 species
AUACGGAAGGUCCGGGCGUUAUCCGGAUUUAUUGGGUUUAAAGGGAGCGCAGGCGGAGAUGCAAGCGUGACGUCAAAUUUCGGGGCUCAACCCCGUCUCGCGUCGCGAACUGCGUCCCUUGGUUGCGGGAAGGGGAGGCGGAACUCGGGGUGUAGCGGGGAAAUGCAUAGAUAUCACGAAGAACUCCGAUCGCGAAGGCAGCCUUCCGGCCCGUCAACGACGCUCAUGCUCGAAGGUGCGGGUAUCAAACAGGAUUAGAUACCCUGGUAGUCCGCACAGUAAACGAUGGACACCCGCGGUUUGGCCUAUAUGGCUGAGCCGCCAAGCGAAAGCGUUAAGUGUCCCACCUGGGGAGUACGCCGGCAACGGUGAAACUCAAAUGAAUUGGCGGGG